rnacentral:rRNA from 1 species
CCUACGGGUCGCACCAGUGGGGAAUAUUACACAAUGGGCGCAAGCCUGAUGCAGCCAUGCCGCGUGUAUGAAGAAGGCCUUAGGGUUGUAAAGUACUUUCAGUUGGGAGGAAGGCGUUGAUGCUAAAAUCAUCAACGAUUGACGUUACCAACAGAAGAAGCACCGGCUAACUCCGUGCCAGCAGCCGCGGUAAUACGGAGGGUGCAAGCGUUAAUCGGAAUUACUGGGCGUAAAGCGCACGCAGGCGGUUGAUUAAGUUAGAUGUGAAAUCCCCGGGCUUAACCUGGGAAUGGCAACUAAGACUGGUCAGCUAGAGUCUUGUAGAGGGGGGUAGAAUUCCAUGUGUAGCGGUGAAAUGCGUAGAGAUGUGGAGGAAUACCGAUGGCGAAGGCGGCCCCCUGGACAAAGUCUGACGCUCAGGUGCGAAAGCGUGGGGAGCAAACAGGAUUAGAUACCCGUGUAGUC